CCAAUGAACAAUUGUGGAUUGAAAAUUCAUCUUCACAAGUUAUUAAUUAAUCAGCGUGAAAAAACUAAAAUUAUUAGAAUAUAGUUACUUGUUAAUCUUUUUCAUUUAUGACUCUUUUUAUGUAAUGUGGAAAUGCGUUUAAGUUUACCUACAUGUUUUUGUGGGACGGUAGCUUAAUUAGAUGAAAACCAAACCAAAAAUACAAAAAAUGCUAGAUGUGUAUAAUUAUCGAUCAUAUAUCUCUAGAAAAUUAGACAAAUGGCCCAGCUAAUUCACAUCUUACACAUGUAAAUGAACAUAUGGAAACCUUUACUACCCACUAGUACUACUCAUGGUUUUCCAAACACUACAAGAAAACAUCGGGAUACUGAGGGAAAAAAUCGUCGGUAUGUCGUCGGAAUAACGUUAUUCCGAGGACAUACCGACGAAAAAAGUCCUCGGAAAUAACUCCUCGGAAAUUCAUAAUUCCUCGGAAUUCCGUCGGAAUUUUCCGACGGAAUUCCGAGGAAACAAAAUUCCGAGGAAACUCCGAGGACACAAUGUUCGUCGGAAGGUUCCUCGGAAAAUACCGAAGGAAUUCCGAUGGUCCAAUCCUCGGAAGUUUCGACGAAAUAUUUCUCGGAAUAUUUAUCGGAAAAUUCCGAGGGAAGAAAGUUCCUCGGAAAAUUCCGAGGAACAUUUGUUCCUCGGAAAAUUCCGAGGAACAUUUGUUCCUCGGACAUUUCCGAGGAACUUUCUUCCCUCGGAAUUUUCCGAGGGAAUUGAGUUUCUCGGAAAAUUCCGAGGAAUCCUUUCCCUCAGACAAUUCCGAGGAACUUAAUGUUCGUCGGAAUUUACCGAGGGAUAAAAGUUCCUCGGAAUUAUCCGAGGACCUCCAUUCCCUCGGAAUUUUGAAAAAAAUUAUUUUUUUAAAAAAUUUUUUUUUUUUAAAAAUUAUUUUUUUUUGGAAAAAAAUUAAAAUUUUUAAAAUUUAAAAUUAAAAUUGAAUAAAACAUAAAAUAAAACAUAGUAGAUAAUAUUCAAAUUUAAAUAAAACAUUCAGAGUUUUUGGAAAAAAAAAAACUACGGGUCUUGAAUGUUCGGGAACGUCUCGUUCGGGUACAUCCUCUUCAUCAUGUCCAUCAUCUGCUCGUUCAGCCUCUUCUGGGUCUCAUAGCCCGCCUGUUGAGCUGCCAUCUGAGCCUCCAACGCAGAUAUCCGAUCAUCCUUGUCCUUCAGCUGAGCCGUAAGAACUUCUGGAUCAACAUACGCAUGUGGUGCAGAAGAAGGAGCAGCCGACCGGGAGCGACGACCCAAACCGACCAAACGUCCCUUUUUCUUUGGAACCGACUGAAAUAUAAAUAAAACGAAGUUAAGAUAAUUUAAAUUGAUGAUAAAAUAAAAAUCAAGAAAUAAUUAAAUUGAACUUUUAAAAAAAAAAACUUACCGAUUCAACGAUUUCGUUGAUUCGAACCCGAGACAAGUUGGUCGAGGCCGUCGAAUCGUCAUCAUCGGUUUGAAGCUGAGACACUUCGUCAUACACCUGAGUCUGGACCAGGUCGACCACGUCCCUCACAAGACCAUCAUCAAUCUGGCCGGUCUUCUUGUUGGUAUACGCCCUUUUCAUAAGGGCGAGAUCAUCAACUGGGUGGCCUUCAUUUUCUUCCGCCUUGAAAAAAAAUAAAUUAGACAAACAUUAGAGAUUUGAAAAUGCAAAAAAAAUAAAAUUCUGAAACUUAAAUAAUUGAAGAAAAAGCGGUUGAGCUUACCAUGCGAUCCGCCAGAGUGGCAAUAGAUUGAGCACCCAAGUUAUGCUUGUAGAUGCCCUUUCCUUUACGGUCGCUCCUGCGGUUGUUGGAGUUGGUGGAAGAAGUUUCUUUCGUCUCUUCUUUAUCCCAAUGCGCACACAACUCCUUCCAGACCGUGCCGUUCAUCGACUUUGGGACCUUUUAAUUUAAAAAAAAAAAGUUUAAUAAUUUUAAAAAUAGUUUAAUAAAUUAAAAAUUGUUAAUAAAUUAAAAACUACCUUGUUUACUUCCCAUUUCUUCUUCCACUCGUACAUCUGCUUCCCAUAGUUGUCCAUAACUUUAUGGACAAAAUGGUGAUAGAUAGAGAGCGUAUCAUCGGCAUUCCAGUUGAAUUCUUGCUGAAAAAAAAAGAUAGAUAAAGAGCGUCUCAUCGGCAUUCCAGUUGAAUUCUUGCUGAAAUAGUUUAAAAAUAGUUUUUAAGCACAAAAAUAUAAAAAAGUUUUAAUAAUAUUUAAAAUGUCUAAUAAAUAUAGAAAAUAGUUUAAUAAUUACAAAAAAUAGUUUUAAUAAUAUAAAAAAUAUAAUUUAAAAAUUAGAAUACUUACCGCAAACUGCUGAAACCACAGAUGCUGCUUCUCGACAGGGAAGUGAGUGAAAGUCGGAUGUCCGCUGUCGAGGGCCGAGUACAUCAUACGGUUGAUCCAUGCGCUGAUCCCGUUCCCGGAUCGGUUGAACCUAACAAAAAAAAUAAAUUAUUAAUAAAAAAAUAGUUUAAAAAUUAAAAAUAGUUUAAAAAAUAAAAGUUUAAAUUACCAUGUUUGACCAUGUCCAUGUGGAUACUCAGUGAGAUAGGGAAGAUGGUACAAAACAUUGUAGCAUGGACCACAAUAACUACAAUUACUAUACCUAACAAACCAUUAUCUCUCUCCCUCUUUGUUUUUCUAUCAUCUUCCAUGUAAUAAAAGCAUUCCAUAAAUCACUAACCACUAAACAAACUAAAAUCGAAAAAAAAACAAAAAAAAAACAGUGGGCGAUAUGCAUUAC
rnacentral:lncRNA from 1 species